rnacentral:rRNA from 1 species
GCUUCAGUCCUGAUGCUUGUUAUCGUAUUCGCGUGUCGCCCUUAGAGUUUGAUCCUGGCUCAGGAUGAACGCUAGCGGCAGGCCUAACACAUGCAAGUCGAGGGGUAGAGGCAGCUUGCUGCUUUGAGACCGGCGCACGGGUGCGUAACGCGUAUGCAAUCUACCUUAUACUAAGGGAUAGCCCAGAGAAAUUUGGAUUAAUACCUUAUGGUUAAUAGAAUUGGCAUCGAUUUUAUUAUAAAGAUUUAUUGGUAUAAGAUGAGCAUGCGUCCCAUUAGUUAGUUGGUAAGGUAACGGCUUACCAAGACGAUGAUGGGUAGGGGUCCUGAGAGGGAGAUCCCCCACACUGGUACUGAGACACGGACCAGACUCCUACGGGAGGCAGCAGUGAGGAAUAUUGGUCAAUGGAGGCAACUCUGAACCAGCCAUGCCGCGUGCAGGAUGACGGUCCUAUGGAUUGUAAACUGCUUUUGUACAGGAAGAAAAAGAGUUACGUGUAGCUUAUUGACGGUACUGUAAGAAUAAGGAUCGGCUAACUCCGUGCCAGCAGCCGCGGUAAUACGGAGGAUCCAAGCGUUAUCCGGAAUCAUUGGGUUUAAAGGGUCCGUAGGCGGGGUAUUAAGUCAGCGGUGAAAGUUUUCAGCUUAACUGAAAAAUUGCCGUUGAUACUGGUAUUCUUGAAUGAUUGUGAAGUAACUAGAAUAUGUAGUGUAGCGGUGAAAUGCUUAGAUAUUACAUGGAAUACCAAUUGCGAAGGCAGGUUACUAACAAUUUAUUGACGCUGAUGGACGAAAGCGUGGGUAGCGAACAGGAUUAGAUACCCUGGUAGUCCACGCCGUAAACGAUGGAUACUAGCUGUUUGGACUUCGGUUUGAGUGGCUAAGCGAAAGUGAUAAGUAUCCCACCUGGGGAGUACGGUCGCAAGACUGAAACUCAAAGGAAUUGACGGGGGCCCGCACAAGCGGUGGAGCAUGUGGUUUAAUUCGAUGAUACGCGAGGAACCUUACCAGGGCUUAAAUGUAGUUUGACAGAUUUGGAAACAGAUUUUUCUUCGGACAAAUUACAAGGUGCUGCAUGGUUGUCGUCAGCUCGUGCCGUGAGGUGUCAGGUUAAGUCCUAUAACGAGCGCAACCCCUGUUGUUAGUUGCCAGCACGUAAUGGUGGGAACUCUAGCAAGACUGCCAGUGUAAACUGUGAGGAAGGUGGGGAUGACGUCAAAUCAUCACGGCCCUUACGUCCUGGGCCACACACGUGCUACAAUGGCCGGUACAGAGAGUAGCCACUUAGCGAUAAGGAGCGAAUCUAUAAAGCCGGUCACAGUUCGGAUCGGAGUCUGCAACUCGACUCCGUGAAGCUGGAAUCGCUAGUAAUCGGAUAUCAGCCAUGAUCCGGUGAAUACGUUCCCGGGCCUUGUACACACCGCCCGUCAAGCCAUGGAAGCUGGGGGUACCUGAAGUCGGUGACCGCAAGGAGCUGCCUAGGGUAAAACUAGUAACUAGGGCUAAGUCGUAACAAGGUAGCCGUAAAGGGCGACACGCGAAGUCGAUG